GAUGAACGCUAGCUACAGGCUUAACACAUGCAAGUCGAGGGGCAGCAUGGGCUUAGCUUGCUAAGCCCGAUGGCGACCGGCGCACGGGUGAGUAACACGUAUCCAACCUUCCGGUAACUCCGGUAUAGCCUUUCGAAAGAAAGAUUAAUCCCGGAUAGUAUGGUGAUUCCGCGAUGGUUUCUCCAUUAAAGGAUUCCGGUUACCGAUGGGGAUGCGUUCCAUUAGGUUGUUGGUGAGGUAACGGCUCACCAAGCCUUCGAUGGAUAGGGGUUCUGAGAGGAAGGUCCCCCACAUUGGAACUGAGACACGGUCCAA
rnacentral:rRNA from 1 species